rnacentral:lncRNA from 1 species
CUGAUUUCUCGGUCCAACGAGAGAGGGAUCUUUUGAUGCGUGCGUUCUAAGUAAGUUCUGGACACGAUGCUAGGAUUCAAAUUUGCUGCCUCCAUUCCGUAUUUCCGUUAAUUUCCAAAUUAUUUUUGUUUGUGCUUUCCUCACGCAAGGAACAGGCCGACAUGAAUUAGCACGUUUUUGAAAGAAGUGAAGGAUAAAUCACUUAUAGUCCAACACUCUUCACGUCGAGCCUUCUCAGUCCAGUCCUCAGACAUGGAAUAAGAGCGAAAGAACAGAUGGACAAUUCCAACACUGUCUUCACAUCGAGCCUUCUCAGUCCUGAGACGUCAUCGUAAUAAGGAGGUUUUUGAUGGUGUCCGACCUUCCAUUCAUGCAAUAAAGACAGUUUUUUUGGAUGAGGUUGAGUGCUAGAGGCUUGCCGGUGCUAGACAUCUUAAUGCUUUGGGUCCUGGUGUGUGGUCUGCUGGCACUUUUUUGCUGUUGAUCUCCUUUUGCGUACUGCUGUUUUCAUGCACAGAAGGAGGCUACAGUUCUGUGCGCAGCAGGAUUUGGUGGUCUUGUGUUUUGCCUAUUUUGGCAUUGUACUUUGGUCUAUUUCGGAC